rnacentral:rRNA from 1 species
GCGAACGGGUGAGUAACACGUGGGCAACCUGCCUGUAAGACUGGGAUAACAUCGAGAAAUCGGUGCUAAUACCGGAUAAUAAAAAGAACUGCAUGGUUCUUUUUUGAAAGAUGGUUUCGGCUAUCACUUACAGAUGGGCCCGCGGCGCAUUAGCUAGUUGGNGGGGUAACGGCUCACCAAGGCGACGAUGCGUAGCCGACCUGAGAGGGUGAUCGGCCACACUGGGACUGAGACACGGCCCAGACUCCUACGGGAGGCAGCAGUAGGGAAUCUUCCGCAAUGGACGAAAGUCUGACGGAGCAACGCCGCGUGAGUGAUGAAGGUUUUCGGAUCGUAAAACUCUGUUGUUAGGGAAGAACAAGUGCCGUUCGAAAGGGCGGCACCUUGACGGUACCUAACGAGAAAGCCACGGCUAACUACGUGCCAGCAGCCCGCGGUAAUACGUAGGNGGCAAGCGUUGUCCGGAAUUAUUGGGCGUAAAGCGCGCGCACGCGGUCUCUUAAGUCUCCUGUGAAACCCCCCCGGCUCAACCGGGGAGGGUCAUUGGAAACUUG